GGGGAAUCUUGGACAAUGGGGGAAACCCUGAUCCAGCGAUGCCGCGUGAAUGAUGAAGGCCUUAACGGUUGUAAAGUUCUUUCGUCUGCGAAGAUUAUGACGGUAGCAGAAGAAGAAGUUCCGGCUAACUCCGUGCCAGCAGCCGCGGUAAGACGGAGGGAGCAAGCGUUGCUCGGAAUUAUUGGGCGUAAAGGGUGCGUAGGUGGUUUUUUAAGUGAAGUGUUAAAGCCUUGGGCUUAACCUGAGAGAUGCAUUUCAUACUGAAAAACUCGAGUGUGGGAGAGGAAACGGGAAUUCCUCAUGUAGAGGUGAAAUUCGUAGAUAUGAGGAGGAACACCAGAGGCGAAGGCGAGUUUCUGGAACACAACUGACACUGAGGCACGAAAGCGUGGGGAGCAAAC
rnacentral:rRNA from 1 species